AAACGAACUCAUCUCUAACUUAGAUGGCCUGAGGUGAAUAGUUAAUUGGUUAGCCACCAAAUUUACGGCCACGACGACAGUCUCAUUUCCACAUGAUAGGGAUUCUGUUCAUCUCGCUGUGCAGCUCUCUUCCAAGUGCUCUUCCCUACGCAGUGUAGACGUUUAUCGGAGGCAGAUUUCCUCCGGCUAUACUUUUGUAUUUGACUGCAGUAUUACUAACAUUUGAAAAUGGAAAAAAAAAAAAAUCAGUAUAAUGUAAAGUGAAUAUAUACGUAUGUAAAUGCAUUGAAAAUAUUUAAACAUUUAUCAGUAUAUUUCAGCUUUGUUUUAGGGAUGAUUGUAUAUAUGAUCGAUUAACUAAUUUAAGUAUAUCGCCUGUGUUUACAACCUCUGAGUUGAGUGGCAAUUGUUUUAAGUGUAAUAUUCUCAUAGAAUUGGCCGCUUACGUGGACUGAUAUCCUACAACUACUGAUUUUAUUCCAAAUAAGAUGUAAUUUCAGCGGUUUACAUUGACUCCUAUUUGAAUCAUAUUUUAAAGCAUUUGUGGAAAUGUAUGCCAAAACUGACAAUUAACUCUGUUCUUUAAUUUUUUAUUUCAGUUCCCAAUGAAUCACAUCAAGUUCUGUCCCUGUUUUUCUUGUUCAGUGUUCUAAUUCAAUUCAUGUUGACUCAA